rnacentral:rRNA from 1 species
GCAGUCUUACGGCUUAAUAUUAAAGCAUGGAAUGAUAAAUAAUGACAUCGGUUAAUUUUUGUUGGUUUGAGAGGCUGAUGUAAUGAUUUAUAGAGUUAGUCGGAGGUAUUAGUAUUUUGUCGUUAGAAGUGAAAUUCCGGGAUCGACAAAAGACUAACAACUGCGAAAGUAUUUGCCUAGAAUUUGCUCCUUGAUCAAGAACGUAAGUUGGGGGAUCGAAGACGAUCAGAUACCGUCGUAGUCUCAACUUUAAACUAUAUCAGCUAGGGGUUGGCAAAUGUUUAUAUGACUUUGUUAGAACCUUAUGAGAAAUCAAAGCGUUUGGGUUCCGGGGGGAGUAUGGUCGCAAGGCUGAAACUUAAAGGAAUUGACGGAAGGGCACCACAAGAUGUGGAUCCUGUGGCUUAAUUUGACUCAACACUGGAAAACUCACCAGGUCCAGACAUAGGUAGGAUUGACAGAUUGAUAGCUUUUUCUUGAUUCUAUGGGUGGUGGUGCAUGGUCGUUCUUAGUUGGUGGAGUGAUUUGUCUGGUUAAUUCCGUUAACGAACGAGACUAUCACUUACUAAAUAGUACAUUUUUUUAAAUAGAAUAUUUGCUUCUUAGAGGGACUGGUUUUGUAUAAAUUGCUGGAAGUUGGUAGCAAUAACAGGUCUGUGAUGCCCUUAGAUGUUCUGGGCAGCGCACGGGCUACAAUAGAAGAGUAAGUGAGUUUGUUCGACUUAGCUCGAAAAGGGCUGUGGAAUCUUAAAUUUUUUUUUUAUAUGGAAUUACGCUUUGAAAUUUUAACGUGUAAACUAGGAAUACCUAGUAAGUGUAUGUCAUCAACGUGCAUU